GAACAAGUCUGCUCGGCUGCCACCCUCCCGAGAGGGCAGAGCGGGUGGCGCUGGCCCCAGGCCGCCCCGUGUGGGCUUCUCGGCGGCACUGCCUUUGGCAGGCGUCUCAUCCUCGCUCUUUAUCGCCAAGCCCGUGGGGCGAGUGACAGCGGCAUCGCAGCCUGAAUGGGCUUGUCUGACGGGCCAGCUUUCAUCCCGGGCGCUGCUGCCCGCCUGUGAGGGAGGAACUCGGCGCGGAGGGCGGUCAUUUCACACCGAUUCCUCGCUGUCCUGUGCUUUGGGUUCUAACGCGGCGCGUUUCGAUCGCCCACCUCGCUGCGUGCCGUGAGGGAGAAGGCGGGCCUCGCGUGUGGUUAAUAUGUUUGUAAGAGACACCCGCGGAGGCCCCGCUCGGUUCUGAAGCAACAGCGCUCGGAGCUGACCAGCAGGCCAGGAACUCUGCCAGGAACUAAGAUAAGGAUGAUUACAUCUUGUGCCCCAGGCCCUCUAAACGGAUCCCUGCAGGAGGGACAAGAAUUAAUUCAAUUCCAGGCCACAGCCCCGCCCAAUGCUCCACAGGGUGGCAUAACGGGACCAAGUGCCUGACGGGGAGACAGAGGGAAACCAGACAGAUGCGUUCCCACCCCAGCAUGACCGAGUACCAAUGACGGCCCAGGAGCAGGGACAGGGAAGACCAAUGAAGACCACGGCUUUGCGGAUGUGCCAGCAAAGCCGUGGAGGCCAUUGACCCGAUGUGCUAUUCCAUCCAUAACCCU